GACGAACGCUGGCGGCGUGCCUAAUACAUGCAAGUCGAGCGGAGUUUUUAAAAGCUUGCUUUUAAAAACUCAGCGGCGGACGGGUGAGUAACACGUGGGCAACCUGCCCUGUAGACUGGGAUAACUUCGGGAAACCGAAGCUAAUACCGGAUAAUCAUAGAAGUUGCAUAGCUUCUAUGUAAAAGUUGGGUUUACCUAACACUACAGGAUGGGCCCGCGUCGCAUUAGCUAGUUGGUAAGGUAACGGCUUACCAAGGCGACGAUGCGUAGCCGACCUGAGAGGGUGAUCGGCCACACUGGGACUGAGACACGGCCCAGACUCCUACGGGAGGCAGCAGUAGGGAAUCUUCCGCAAUGGACGAAAGUCUGACGGAGCAACGCCGCGUGAGCGAUGAAGGCCUUUCGGGUCGUAAAGCUCUGU
rnacentral:rRNA from 1 species